GACGAACGCUGGCGGCGUGCUUAACACAUGCAAGUCGAACGGAAAGGCCCUGCUUGCAGGGUGCUCGAGUGGCGAACGGGUGAGUAACACGUGGGUGAUCUGCCCCUUACUUUGGGAUAAGCCUGGGAAACUGGGUCUAAUACUGGAUAGGACCAUGCUGUAGGUGGUGUGGUGGAAAGAUUAGUUUCGGUAAGGGAUGAGCUCGCGGCCUAUCAGCUUGUUGGUGGGGUAAUGGCCUACCAAGGCGUCGACGGGUAGCCGGCCUGAGAGGGUGGACGGCCACAUUGGGACUGAGAUACGGCCCAGACUCCUACGGGAGGCAGCAGAGGGGAAUAUUGCACAAUGGGCGCAAGCCUGAUGCAGCGACGCCGCGUGGGGGAUGACGGCCUUCGGGUUGUAAACUCCUUUCAGCCAUGAUGAAGCCCUUGUGGUGACGGUAGUGGUAGAAGAAGCACCGGCUAACUACGUG
rnacentral:rRNA from 1 species